rnacentral:rRNA from 1 species
ACCAGACUCCUACGGGAGGCAGCAGUGGGGAAUAUUGCACAAUGGGGGGAACCCUGAUGCAGCGACGCCGCGUGGGUGAAGAAGCGCCUCGGCGCGUAAAGCCCUGUCAGCAGGGAAGAAAAUGACGGUACCUGAAGAAGAAGCCCCGGCUAACUACGUGCCAGCAGCCGCGGUAAUACGUAGGGGGCAAGCGUUAUCCGGAUUUACUGGGUGUAAAGGGGGCGCAGACGGCGAUGCAAGCCAGGAGUGAAAGCCCGGGGCCCAACCCCAGGACUGCUCUUGGAACUGCGUGGCUGGAGCGCAGGAGGGGCAGGCGGAAUUCCUGGUGUAGCGGUGAAAUGCGUAGAUAUCAGGAGGAACACCGGUGGCGAAGGCGGCCUGCUGGACUGCGACUGACGUUGAGGCCCGAAAGCGUGGGGAGCAAACAGGAUUAGAUACCCGAGUAAA